rnacentral:rRNA from 1 species
AACGAACGCUGGCGGCAGGCCUAACACAUGCAAGUCGAGCGCGCCCUUCGGGGUGAGCGGCGGACGGGUGAGUAACGCGUGGGAACGUGCCCUUCUCUGCGGAAUAGCCUCGGGAAACUGAGAGUAAUACCGCAUACGCCCUUUGGGGGAAAGAUUUAUCGGAGAAGGAUCGGCCCGCGUUGGAUUAGGUAGUUGGCGGGGUAAUGGCCCACCAAGCCGACGAUCCAUAGCUGGUUUGAGAGGAUGAUCAGCCACACUGGGACUGAGACACGGCCCAGACUCCUACGGGAGGCAGCAGUGGGGAAUCUUAGACAAUGGGGGCAACCCUGAUCGAGCCAUGCCGCGUGAGUGAUGAAGGCCUUAGGGUUGUAAAGCUCUUUCAGCUGGGAAGAUAAUGACGGUACCAGCAGAAGAAGCCCCGGCUAACUCCGUG